rnacentral:rRNA from 1 species
AUUGAACGCUGGCGGCAUGCUUUACACAUGCAAGUCGAACGGCAGCAUGGAGUGCUUGCACUCUGAUGGCGAGUGGCGAACGGGUGAGUAAUACAUCGGAACGUACCGAGUAAUGGGGGAUAACUACGCGAAAGCGUGGCUAAUACCGCAUACGCUCUUAGGAGGAAAGCGGGGGACCUUAUGGCCUCGCGUUAUUCGAGCGGCCGAUGUUGGAUUAGCUAGUUGGUGGGGUAAGGGCCUACCAAGGCUACGAUCCAUAGUGGGUCUGAGAGGAUGAUCCGCCACAUUGGGACUGAGACACGGCCCAAACUCCUACGGGAGGCAGCAGUGGGGAAUUUUGGACAAUGGGCGCAAGCCUGAUCCAGCCAUGCCGCGUGUAUGAAGAAGGCCUUAGGGUUGUAAAGUACUUUUGUUAGGGAAGAAAAGCUUUUGGUUAAUACCCAAGAGUGCUGACGGUACCUAAAGAAUAAGCACCGGCUAACUACGUGCCAGCAGCCGCAGUAACAC